rnacentral:rRNA from 1 species
UUAGCGUGUAGUGAAUUUCAGGGCUCAACCCUGAAACUGUUACACGAACUGCUUGACUAGAGUAUAUGAGGGGAAGCUGGAAUUCCUGGUGUAGGAGUGGAAUCCGUAGAUAUCAGGAGGAACACCAAUGGCGUAGGCAGGCUUCUGGCAUAUUACUGACGCUAAGGCACGAAAGCGUGGGGAGCGAACGGGAUUAGAUACCCCGGUAGUCCACGCCGUAAACGAUGGAUGCUA